GGGCCCGCACAAGCGGUGGAGUAUGUGGUUUAAUUCGAUGCAACGCGAAGAACCUUACCAGGGCUUGACAUCCUGCGAACCUCUGGGAAACCGGAGGGUGCCUUCGGGAACGCAGUGACAGGUGGUGCAUGGCUGUCGUCAGCUCGUGUCGUGAGAUGUUGGGUUAAGUCCCGCAACGAGCGCAACCCACGUCUUUAGUUGCCAGCAUUUAGUUGGGCACUCUAGAGAGACCGCCGGUGACAAACCGGAGGAAGGUGUGGAUGACGUCAAGUCAUCAUGCCCCUUACGUCCUGGGCUACACACGUACUACAAUGCUACGGACAAAGGGCAGCAAGUUCGCGAGGACAAGCAAAUCCCAUAAACCGUGGCUCAGUUCAGAUCGUAGGCUGCAACUCGCCUACGUGAAGGAGGAAUC
rnacentral:rRNA from 1 species